AUACACCAUGUCGUAGCACUUCCCGCCUGAAUCGCGUCCCCUUGCUGGCAAAACCUGUGUCUCGCUUCAGACAUGCUGCUGUAGAUUGGUUCUAAGUCUCCUAUUCAAAGUUUUCACACAUAAAAUUGAAUGAAAUUUUUCAGUUGAGUGACGUGUUCAGUGUGCAGGCUUGACAUAGGGUGAGCAAGCGUGGUUUCAGACAGUAUGGCGGAUUGUUGGUCUAUCGAGGAGGGAGGCUGUAUGUAGAGUCUUCUGCAUGUCUUGUGUCUGGCUGUUACCCUUUUCUUGAUGGCGCAGUGCGAAAAUAUUCAUUUGGAGUUCUAUCUGUUUCCUUUUUGUUUGGAUUUUGAAUUAUUCAUAAUGGUUUGUGGAUUUUUAAAUGUGGCCAUGUGAGUUGUGGUAUGAAUAACUACCUGACAUCGAGUCUUGCUUGUAAUGGCGUCCUCGUAGGUGUGUCGGCAUGGUGAAGUACUUGCAUCGGAUGCGCCUCGCUUGGGAAGAGGCGACCUCGCGGGGUGGAUUUUCUGCACUUUUUGACAUUGUGGGUGUGUGCACUGUGAUAGGACAGGGGACACAUACCUAGUGUACAUCUUGUGAGACUGCACAGACGCUAGGCGGGCGCAUGCGCAGACGACCUAGCUGUAUAUGCCCAUUGCAUUUCUAAACCGCCAAAUUCUGGUGCAGAAGAACGUUAGGUCUUUAGUGUGACCGGGGCUGCCUGUUUAUGAGCAUGGAGCUAUUAUGCAGAGAGAGUUCGUUAUGGUUUUUACAUCUAUGGAAGACAUGUGUUUCUUAGUCUGGAAUUGAGAUGGAGACAGUUGAAGUCAUCUGCAGGUAGUGGUUCAUCUAGGAUGGCCGUCACGUGGACUUCUAGUCAAGACAGACGAUGCAGAUCACUCUGUCUGGGGAGUAGAGCGUGUUCACCAAUUUGGCACCGAGUCCUUGGGAGAAGACCAUGCCUGGCACCAAGCCAUUGUACAGAGACGCCCCUUCCAGGCAGUUCCAGUGCUCUUUGAAUUCCCUGAUACCUCUCAAUUCUGUCGCGACAACCGAGAAUUCCAGUCAUGCUAGGAACUGUCAGUGACUUGGAUCACUUUCAGACAGGAUUGUGCCAUUCAUCCGAGUGGUCUUCUAGCAGAACAAAUUGUUAGAAACAUGUGGGAAUCUUACUAUGUGAAGCUCUGUGAUCUGUUACAACAUCGUGCACGGGGAGGGAUGCUGAGGAACAUUGUCACGUCUCUGCUGGAAUAUAGGACAUGGAGUUUGUUUAGCUGUAAUGGAUGAACAGUGUCUUGACAUCAGUGAGACGUGGUCACUAGGAGGCCAGUCACAGCAGCAUUCGGAGGAGCAUGGUCAGUGGACGUACAAUGGGAGACGACGUGCUGUCGGCACACUGGGCUGCUAAUGAGGUGAAGAGUGAAUCGCUUGAUGGAUGGACAGAGGAGGAAAGGAAGGACUGAUGGAAUUACUGGGGUUCACAAGAGAUACAGGUGAUGCAACCUUCAAGUGAUGCUACCU